AAGCGUUUGCGACCAGACCUUUUCCUAGCGGAUCAUCCGGUGUUCUCACCGGUGCACUUCGCUAGGUUUAGGCCAGCAUCGGUUUCUGUAGGGGGAUAAAAGCCCUGGGAACGUAGCUCCUCCGGGAGUGUUAUAGCCCUCUGCAUAAUACCCUUACUGGGACCGAGGACCGCGCUUUUGGCAAGGAUGCUGGCGUAAUGGUCGUCAACGA
rnacentral:rRNA from 1 species